UACGUAGGGUGCAAGCGUUGUCCGGAAUUAUUGGGCGUAAAGAGCUCGUAGGCGGUUUGUUGCGUCGGCUGUGAAAUCCCGAGGCUCAACCUCGGGUCUGCAGCCGAUACGGGCAGGCUAGAGUUCGGUAGGGGAGACUGGAAUUCCUGGUGUAGCGGUGAAAUGCGCAGAUAUCAGGAGGAACACCGAUGGCGAAGGCAGGUCUCUGGGCCGAUACUGACGCUGAGGAGCGAAAGCGUGGGGAGCGAACAGG
rnacentral:rRNA from 1 species